rnacentral:rRNA from 1 species
UACGUAGGUGACGAGCGUUGUCCGGAUUUACUGGGCGUAAAGAGCGCGCAGGCGGUCGUUCAAGUCGAGUGUGAAAGCCCCCGGCUCAACUGGGGAGGGUCACUCGAUACUGAUCGACUCGAAGGCAGGAGAGGGAAGUGGAAUUCCCGGUGUAGUGGUGAAAUGCGUAGAUAUCGGGAGGAACACCAGUGGCGAAGGCGACUUCCUGGCCUGUUCUUGACGCUGAGGCGCGAAAGCUAGGGGAGCAACGGG